rnacentral:rRNA from 1 species
CCUACGGGUGGCAGCAGUGGGGAAUAUUGGACAAUGGGGGGGACCCUGAUCCAGCCAUGCCGCGUGUGUGAAGAAGGCCCUCGGGUUGUAAAGCACUUUCAGUGAGGAAGAACGCCUGGUGGUUAAUACCCAUCAGGAAAGACAUCACUCACAGAAGAAGCACCGGCUAACUCCGUGCCAGCAGCCGCGGUAAUACGGAGGGUGCGAGCGUUAAUCGGAAUUACUGGGCGUAAAGCGCGCGUAGGUGGCUUGAUAAGCCGGUUGUGAAAGCCCCGGGCUCAACCUGGGAACGGCAUCCGGAACUGUCAAGCUAGAGUGCAGGAGAGGAAGGUAGAAUUCCCGGUGUAGCGGUGAAAUGCGUAGAGAUCGGGAGGAAUACCAGUGGCGAAGGCGGCCUUCUGGACUGACACUGACACUGAGGUGCGAAAGCGUGGGUAGCAAACAGGAUUAGAUACCCUUGUAGUC